CCCUGGGUAGCUCAGUUGAUAGAGCGCUCCACCUGUAAUGGAGAGGUCCCGGGUUCGAUACCCGGACAAGGUG
rnacentral:tRNA from 1 species